AGAGUUUGAUCCUGGCUCAGAACGAACGCUGGCGGCAGGCCUAACACAUGCAAGUCGAGCGAACCCCUCGGGGUUAGCGGCGGACGGGUUAGUAACGCGUGGGAACGUGCCCAAAGGUACGGAAUAGCAUCGGGAAACUGGUGGUAAUACCGUAUGUGCCCUUCGGGGGAAAGAAUUUCGCCUUUGGAUCGGCCCGCGUAAGAUUAGGUAGUUGGUGAGGUAACGGCUCACCAAGCCUACGAUCUUUAUCUGGUUUGAGAGGAUGAUCAGAAACACUGGGACUGAGACACGGCCCAGACUCCUACGGGAGGCAGCAGUGGGGAAUCUUGGACAAUGGGCGCAAGCCUGAUCCAGCCAUGCCGCGUGUGUGAAGAAGGCCUUAGGGUUGUAAAGCUCUUUAGUAAGGACGAAAAGAAUAUAGUUAAUACCUAUAUUCCGUGACUUAACUUACAGAAUAAGGACCGGCUAACUCCGUGCCAGACAGCCGCGGUAAUACGGAGGGUCCAAGCGUUAAUCGGAAUUACUGGGCGUAAAGCGCGCGUAGGCGGUUUGUCAAGUUGGAUGUGAAAUCCCUGGGCUCAAGCCUAGCGAACUGCAUUCAAGAACUUAUAGCACUAGAGUACGAUAGAGGAGAGUAGGAAUUCCUGGUGUAGCGGUGAAAUGCGUAGAUAUCAGGAGGAAUACCAAUGGCGAAGGC
rnacentral:rRNA from 1 species